rnacentral:tRNA from 1 species
GUGUUGGCCCAAUGGAAGAGCAUCAGCUUGGCAUGCAGGAAGUCCUGGGUUUGAUUCCCAUCAGGCAGUA